rnacentral:rRNA from 1 species
UACAGAGGUCCCAAGCGUUGUUCGGAUUCAUUGGGCGUAAAGGGUGCGUAGGUGGCGGGGUAAGUUGGAUGUGAAAUCCUGGGGCUCAACCCUAGAACUGCAUUCAAUACUGCCUUGCUGGAGUACUGGAGAGGAGAUUGGAAUUUACGGUGUAGCAGUGAAAUGCGCAGAUAUCGUAAGGAAGACCAGUGGCGAAGGCGGAUCUCUGGACAGUUACUGACACUGAGGCACGAAGGCCAGGGGAGCAAACGGG